rnacentral:rRNA from 1 species
UACAGAGGGGGCAAGCGUUGUUCGGAAUUACUGGGCGUAAAGGGCGCGUAGGCGGCCUGUUAAGUCGAACGUGAAAUCCCCGGGCUCAACCCGGGAACUGCGUCCGAUACUGGCAGGCUUGAAUCCGGGAGAGGGAUGCGGAAUUCCAGGUGUAGCGGUGAAAUGCGCAGAUAUCAGGAGGAACACCGGUGGCGAAGGCGGGUCUCUGGGCAACAACGUGACGCUGAGGAGCGAAAGCGUGGGGAGCGAACAGG